CGGGGAGUGAAGGCCUCAUUGAGAGAAGGUCUCAUUCUGUGUUUUGGGAAGAGAGUCGUGUGGGCCCAGGUAUCGUAGCGGCGACACGAGAGAGACGGCCGGUGUGACAGCCUUCCACUACCUGCACGAGUGUAUUGGUAACGUUGGGGUGGGUGCACUCUUUCGGAGCUGGAGGAAGUGCUGCCCUCUGCUCCCCCAUCCCAGCGCUUUGGUUUCUCCCACCCGGCAGUCAUUGGGGGACGCUGGAUGAGCCCAUUUCUGAAGUGCGGAGGGGCCGGGCUUUUUAGGCGGUGGGCGGAGCCUGGGCCUGGGAGAGGAACAGGGCCCUGGAGCACCUGGUUUCGGGGACAGUAGGGUUGGUGGGAGUUACGAUGAUAUUGCCACCUACCUCUUACAUCUUUUAGUGCGUAUGUUCUGUCCACCCAGCUACUGGUUCAUUUGAGUAGAUGGGAGUCAGAUGAGUACAUGUUUACGGGAGGCGCUUGGUUACGGGAUCCAGAUAUGAAUCUUUAUCUGAGCUGCUUGUCAGUUUGUUCAUCUGUCCCUAGGUCUGUCUGCUAUCAGCUAUGCCGCUGCCCGUUGCGCUGCAGACCCGCUUGGCCAAGAGAGGCAUCCUCAAACAUCUGGAGCCUGAACCAGAGGAAGAGAUCAUUGCCGAGGACUAUGACGAUGAUCCUGUGGACUACGAGGCCACCAGGUUGGAGGGCCUACCACCAAGCUGGUACAAGGUGUUCGACCCUUCCUGCCUAGGCUGGAGUGUAAUGGUGUGAUCUCGGCUCACUGCAACCUCCGCCUCCCAGGUUCAGGUGAUUGUCCUGUCUCAGCCUCCCAAG
rnacentral:sRNA from 1 species